AAAGACCUAUAGAGUGUGUGACAUUUUCCAUCUCUUCAUAUCACAAUAGAGUAUUAAUUGGGCCAGUAUUCGAAUACAACGAAACUUCACCUCACCAUACUAUGGUAACAUCUAAUAGAACUGAAAAGGACUAACAUAAAAUUUGAUUAAAAGUAGUCAAACGUGUCGUACCUUUUGUAUCAGGGUCUCUGGAAUGAAAUUAAACCAAAAUAGUCGGUCUUUCCCGAACAGAAAUGAAUUUCUACUAUUAAAUUGUCGUUAAUGUUUAAAAAUCAAGGGUAACAUUCCUUGUCUAUAAAUCAGUAGAGGAAGUGACAAGCUAAUUCGGAUUUCUAGUUAUCUGGUUAACUCCUACACUCCUUUUUAGAAGGUAAGGCUUAAUGCACAUCGUAUGGAGCCCCACAUCACCUGAGGGAUAAGCUUUGGGUGUGCUCAGAAUGAACUACUACUUUCCAUAUCGACAAAGUGACACACGAUCAUCCGCGUCGACCAACUAUCCAACAUUGAUUAAGUUAAAGGAAAGGUUGCAAUCAAAUUUACGCUAAUCUGACCUAAUACCAUCUGCACUGUUAAUCUUAAUUUAACUAAAGGCAGGAGUUACCGUUCUCAACAUCUUUAUCGACGGUUAAAAAUCAGCUAGGAAUCAGUAACCUAUAGCCCUCUGCUACUCAUCUCAACAAUUUGUGCACGACUAAUUGCUACACAACCUACAAAAGGAACUCGGCAACACUCUGCUUGGCCUGUUUAGUAAAAACAUCUCCUCUCUCGAGAAUGUGAGGUCCCACCUGCCCAAUGCCUACACGGUAAAUGGCUGCAGUAAUCUGACUGUACAAAGGUAGCGUAAUCACUUGGCUCUUAAUUGGAGUCUCGAAUGAAUGGUGCCACCAAAGCAUAACUGUCUCUUGUUAGGGUAAGUGAACUUAAAUCGUGGGUGAAAAUGCCUACCUAACUUAGUGGGACGAGAAGACCCUGUAGAUCUUUACCUAUCCUGUAUGCUAAAUUGUAAGCAUGAGUGACUGGUUUACCUGGGACGGGGUGUUCAACGUGUUUAACUCUCUUUAAAUCAAUAAAACUAUCGGUUUAAUUUGUCGACCCCCUAUUAAGGGUUACAAAGAUAAAGUUACCUCAGGGAUAACAGCGUAAUCUAACUUCUUAGACCUGAUGGGAUAGUUAGGGUUACGACCUCGAUGUCGAAUUAAGUUUCCACCUGUGGAGUAGACACUAAGGAUGUUAGUCUGUUCGACUAUUAAAAACUUACAUGAUUUGAGUUUAGACCGACGUGAGUCAGGUCAGAUUCUAUCUCCUAACUUUAAUUGAUAAUCUAAGUACGAAAGGACAAGACUAUCGGUACGAUAUACUCUCUUAACCUGAGUAUUAGUUAUCAGAUAG
rnacentral:rRNA from 1 species